UAGAUGGUGACAAGGAUAUCAAGGGUUUAACUAGAUGAGGUUAAUUAGGUUUUAACAAGCACAACGUGUAAAAUCAGGUAAAAUGUCUUUGUUUCCUCAUGUUCUUGUGGUUCUAAAAUGUGAUGUAGGAAAAAACAAAAGUCGUUGAUGUCCGUUAUUAAGUCCCAAACCUAAAUAGUUGAAGGAAAUCAUAUCGCGGGUGGUCAAAUAAAGGAGAUAGAUCACCGGACUAAGAUCACCUUGAAACCAACCAAUCACGAGAAGACAACGAAAGCUGAUUAGAAUCAAACUGUUUGGACUGAACACGAGUAAAGGUCACCUGAAGUGUAAGGUUUCCUCCCUGUCUUCUCGUCAGAUGGACUGUUCCUGUACCGUAUCCAACGUCUGUUUAUGACGCUUACACCUACAACGUGUGAUAACACUUCCACGUCGGGACGAGUUAAGUUAGAGGUGACGUGUAUAGAUGAAGUUAAAGAUGAUGUUUAAGUGGAAAAGUUGUCGUCUGCGCCCCGUCUCUUCAGUCUGCCGUUCCUACUCGUCGUCGUAGUCUGUCGCUCCUCCUCGUCUUCGUAGUCUGCUGCUCCUGAGCUAGCCCCCGCAACCGCAGCGGGUUAUCGUCGUCGUAGUCUCCGACCUCCCUUAGCGCCGCCGGCGUCUUACUUCGCCGCCGGCUGCUGAACAGGUUUAGGCCGUGGCCUCCGGCGCCCGCGCUCCUUCGCCCGUCUCCUACUCCCGCGCCCGGCGUGGCCGAUCCCUGCGCUCGUCCCUCCACUGCAGCCGGCACCUCCUCCGCCCGCAGAUCAACCAGGGCGCCUCCUCGUCAGCGGAGGCACACCCGCCGUCGUGUCGAGCGGAAACACGCCCGCCACGUCCACCCGUCCCCGCGGUACCUAACCGUCGUCGCCGCUACGUCCACCUGCCGUUGCGCGACCCGGGAUGCCACCGACGGCUGCCGCGUGACCCGAACAAGGACGGCGCCCGCAGACCUCCUCCUUCUUCGUUUCCCCAUUAAUCGUCCUCUAAAUUUUAGGAUUCCUAAAAAAAAAAACGUUUUUAGUGUCGCUUGAUGCGGCACCUGUUGAAAAGGGCCUGCCUCCCUCAUAUUAUCACCGUGAUCAACUUCAGUCGGACGUCGAGGUGAGCUGCUAAGUUAAGUACGCUGGAAAAGACAUCAAAUGAACUUUACUUCGUUUCUAACGUAGUAAGUCGAUCGUUCUUCAUGAACGAGAACACUCUACCGUCCAAGAAAAAAUCAUCAACGUAUUUUUAAUUCGUUGUAAUUCCAACAGACAGGAUGAGUACAUUCCACGUUGAUAUUAAACGAAUAGGAGAACAUGUCAAGGU
rnacentral:rRNA from 1 species